UAUUUUAUCUCAUUAGCCCAUCAAUUUAUCCGCUCGAAGAUCAUCAUCAUCAAUCAUUUUUUAUUGCUGAAGCUCUUCAAUUUUUGAGACACGUAAAAGGAGACCCUGACAACUGGUCUCAGUCACUUGAUGUUCAGUCAUUAUGGUCUCUGGAUUGGCCGGCCCUUUGUGUGUUUUGGUAUGCGCUGUUUCUCAAAUCCAUCUCAUCCUCUGCGUUUAGCUAGCUAUUGUGACAUUGUCUACGUUAGAGUAGCAGUUUCAAAUCCUUGCAUGCUUAUCUGACAGUAGUGGAGACACAGAGAUUAUCACUCCUUUUACAGUUUCUUAGGUGAUGAGCAGAACUGUACAGAGAAAGGUCUCCCACAAACAAAACGGGAAUAUCAGAGAUGGGAGAGUUACGAGAGUAUACCAUUAGGCCCUUAUGGUCAUUUGGCAACUCAAAAUGGUCACAGUCUGGGUAAAGAGAGUUUGGAUUCACAAAAGGAUGGUGAAUCGAUCUUGAGGAUGGAGAAUCGUAAGAGACAAACAUAUGACUUGCAUUUCAGAGUUUGAGUCGGUUUGGUUUUUCAAGUUCUAGCAAGGAUCAACGACUACACAAGUUAUCUUGAUCUUUGGGUGACUUUGUUACUUAUAUGUUACAUCUGUUGUUUAUAAUAUGGUCUGAAUCUUAGGUCGAUAAAGACAUUCUUCAAUUUUCGUAUAAAUCUUUUCUUUG